ACUGACAGUGGAAUGGGAAGGGA
rnacentral:piRNA from 1 species